rnacentral:rRNA from 1 species
GACGAAUGCUGGCGGCGUGCUUAACACAUGCAAGUCGAACGGUGAACAGGAGCUUGCUCCUGGGAUCAGUGGCGAACGGGUGAGUAACACGUGGGCAACCUGCCCCUCACUCUGGGAUAACUCCGGGAAACCGGGGCUAAUACCGGAUACGACCUGGAGCGACAUCUCUCCAGGUGGAAAGAACUUCGGUGAGGGAUGGGCCCGCGGCCUAUCAGCUAGUUGGUGGGGUAACGGCCGACCAAGGCGACGAUCGGUAGCCGGCCUGAGAGGGCGGACGGCCACACUGGGACUGAGACACGGCCCAGACUCCCACGGGAGGCAGCAGUGGGGAAUUGUUCGCAAUGGGCGCAAGCCUGACGACGCAACGCCGCGUGGAGGAUGAAGAUCUUCGGGUCGUAAACUCCCUUCGAUCGGGACGAAUGGCUAGUGGUCUAACACACCACUGGAUUGACGGUACCGAGAGAAGAAGCCCCGGCUAACUCCGUGCCAGCCGCCGCCGUAACAC